UAGAGAAUGUAGAUAACUAAGAGAAGCCGCUAACUAUCCCUUAAAGCGGUUAAAUUCCGUUUUUCUCUUA
rnacentral:tRNA from 1 species